rnacentral:rRNA from 1 species
ACAUGCAAGUCGAACGAAUUUCCUUUGAACGGAGGCUUCGGCCGAAGGGAGAUUGAAGUGAGUGGCGGACGGGUGAGUAACGCGUGGGUAACCUGCCUUACACCGGGGGAUAACAGAGGGAAACUUCUGCUAAUACCGCAUAAGACCACGGUAUCGCACGGUACUGAGGUAAAAGUUCCGGCGAUGUAAGAUGGACCCGCGUCUGAUUAGCCAGUUGGCGGGGUAACGGCCCACCAAAGCGACGAUCAGUAGCCGACCUGAGAGGGUGAUCGGCCACAUUGGGACUGAGACACGGCCCAAACUCCUACGGGAGGCAGCAGUGGGGAAUAUUGGGCAAUGGGCGCAAGCCUGACCCAGCGACGCCGCGUGAGUGAAGAAGUAUUUCGGUAUGUAAAGCUCUUUAAGCAGGGAAGAUAAUGACGGUACCUGCAGAAUAAGCACCGGCUAAAUACGUGCCAGCAGCCGCGGUAAUACGUAUGGUGCAAGCGUUAUCCGGAUUUACUGGGUGUAAAGGGAGUGUANGUGGCAUGGCAAGCCAAAGGUGAAAACCCGGGGCUCAACCCC